AACGAGAAAUUUGACACUAAUUUCGAAGAAAUCGGUCCAAGAUUGGACCGAACGGGCCGAACCAGUUGAACCGGGCCCAAACCGGGCACGUGGGCCCAACCGGCCAGCAUUUAAAUGAGCUAAAGCUCAUGUUCUUCUUCAAGGAUGCAGCAAAUGCAAUGCACCAGAGAGGAGAAAAGAAAGGCACGAAACCCCUGCGUCAACUCUCGAAUGCCGUAACUUUCCGAUCCGAGCUCCGAUUGCCACACCGUUUGCGGUCAUGCGUUCACCGCGUCGAGUUCUACAUUUCUAUCAGAACAAUUUUAUAAGAUCCAAUUAGCUUGAGGAAAACGUCACUCUUGCUUAUGUGAAGCUUGGGUAAGGUUGUGAAUAAAUAAUUGGAGCUUGGAAUUGUGAAUAUUGGAACUUGGAGGAAGCUGAGCCUAGUGUUUACUGAAUUUUGGAAGGGCUGUGUUUAUUAUAAAUAAGUUACCUUGAUCACUACGAGGAAAUCG